rnacentral:rRNA from 1 species
UACGGAGGAUCCAAGCGUUAUCCGGAAUCAUUGGGUUUAAAGGGUCCGUAGGCGGUUUGGUAAGUCAGUGGUGAAAGCCCAUCGCUCAACGGUGGAACGGCCAUUGAUACUGCCAGACUUGAAUUAUUAGGAAGUAACUAGAAUAUGUAGUGUAGCGGUGAAAUGCUUAGAGAUUACAUGGAAUACCAAAUUGCGAAGGCAGGUUACUACUAAUGGAUUGACGCUGAUGGACGAAAGCGUGGGUAGCGAACAGG